GACGAACCGUGCGAACGUUAUUCGGAAUCAUUGGGCUUAAAGCGCGCGUAGGCGGCACGCCAAGUGCCUGGGUGGAAUACGAUCGGCUCAACCGUCGUUUGGCCCGGUAUACUGGCGCGCUCGAGGGGGGUAGGGGCGGGCGGAACUUCCGGUGGAGCGGUGAAAUGCGUAGAUAUCUGGAGGAACACCGGUGGCGAAGGCGGCGUCCUGGACCAACACUGACACUGAGGAGCGAAAGCCAGGGGAGCAAACGGG
rnacentral:rRNA from 1 species